CUGUUGCAGAGAUGUGCAGUGAUCCUUCCCGUAGGAGACCUUAACGGAACGGUCCAAAGCAUUUUGACACAUCUUCAGCCUAGGUCCGACUUCAAAUUGGACUACCUAGCUCAGAGACUUGGCUGAGCAGAAAUCAGACUCACUUACUGAACAGUUUCCUAGAACGCUCAUCAAAAGAGACUUUAAAACACCUUCAGUCGACAGAAGCCAGCUGCCAGCUUUUCAUGUUAUCCUGAGAGGAAGGGACAGCUCCAACUGUGCACUAAAGGAACCGUCAGCUUUUGUGGGGUUUGGAGCUUUGAGUCAAGUCCCUUUCACAGGGGCAGGUUGGAUAAAAGCAGAUGAUACACAGUUGUAUCACUAGAGGGUCCUUGCUCAUUAUGUCUACCCAUCUGUGAGUUACUCGAAAGCAGGAAGAUCUAUUCCAGCCUUCAUCCCAGACUUUCUGUGGAAUGGCUACCUAAUUUUCCUGGCCAACAUUCCAACUCUCGGACCUGGGCGCCCGUACUGCUUUUCUGACUGUCUGCAGGAAAUCUCUGCUCCUAAGGGAAAGCAGCCAUUCACUGACUCUGAAGAGUCAAUGCUCAGUCCUUCAAACAUCUCCAGGACAGGGAUUCCAGUCCAGCAGUUGAGAAAUGGAGAGCACCAGGAAGGUGGAGAUCUCCAGGUACAGUCACAGAGAAAUGAGGAAACCGUAACCCUGGAGUGAGAUAGGGGCAACAGCUGUGUAAAUCCAGCCCAAUGCAGUAUGCCACUUUUACAAUUAACCAAGAGGCAAGCAAAAAUCCAUGUUAAAAGGAUUUUAAUGUAUUUAAUUUGUUCUGUUUGGACUUCUCUCCAAUAAA